rnacentral:sRNA from 1 species
GCAGCCUCAUGUUCUUCAGAGUCAGCAUCUUUCUUUCCCCUUGCAAGCAGUCUCCUGUUUCUAUGAAUAGUCUUUGCUCAGACAAGGCCAAUAUACUUGAUAAUAAUUAAUUUAGCUUCUUUUAAAUGAUUAGGUCACUUUUUGGUUUAAAAGAAGAUUACCGUGGUUGUCCCUAAAAUCUUUGCAGGUACCAAUUUAUUUCCUCCUCCCUAGGGUCAGAACGAUUUCAUAUUUGGCUUAUGAAAUGUAUUAAUUUGCUUCUUUUGAUCAAAGAUAAAGUGGAAGGGUGAUGAGAUUUUUAAAAAAUUAAUGUAUCCCUUGCUUCUAAUUCUACCUACAAAGCAGAAUAGUGUGCCAGUUACUAUAUAGUUCCUAGUGUAUAGCUUUUGACUCUUUUGAAGUGGUAACUAGUAGUUUUGUUUUAGAAUUUUGCUUUCAGCUUUUAUCCUGAGAGUGGGGCUCACUGAACCUCUCUCCUUUCUAAAAUCUGUGGAAAUUACUUUUGGUAACUAAGGCACUGCAGUGAUCUCAGCAUUUAGUAUGAGAACCUAUGUUUGCCAUAUUUGUAGUAUUGCUUUUACAUCUUUAGAUAUGUUCCGGUCCCACAUGCAAGGAAGUGAACAUCAAAUUAAAGAAUCCAUUGUUAUCAAUCUAGUGAAGAAUUCAAGGAAGACACAAGACUCUUACCAAAAUGAGUGUGCAGAUUACAUCAAUGUGCAGAAAGCCAGAGGACUAGAGACCAAGACUUGUUUCAGAAA